rnacentral:rRNA from 1 species
GGACAACCUGCCCUUAGGACGGGGAUAAACCCGGGAAACUGGGUAUAAUACCCGAUAGGUCUCGAUUGCUGGAAUGCAUCGAGAUUUAAAGCUCCGGCGCCUAAGGAUGGGUCUGCGGCCUAUCAGGUAGUAGUGGGUGUAGCGUACCUACUAGCCUACGACGGGUACGGGUUGUGAGAGCAAGAGCCCGGAGAUGGAUUCUGAGACACGAAUCCAGGCCCUACGGGGUGCAGCAGGCGCGAAAACUUUACAAUGCUGGCAACAGCGAUAAGGGAACCUCGAGUGCUAGGUUACAAAUCUGGCUGUCGAGAUGCCUAAAAAGCAUUUCAUAGCAAGGGCCGGGCAAGACCGGUGCCAGCCGCCGCGGUAACACCGGCGGCUCGAGUGGUAACCGUUAUUAUUGGGUCUAAAGGGUCUGUAGCCGGCCGGAUAAGUCUCUUGAGAAAUCUGGCAGCUUAACUGUCAGGCUUUCAGGAGAUACUGUCUGGCUCGAGGCCGGGAGAGGUGAGAGGUACUUCAGGGGUAGGGGUGAAAUCUUGUAAUCCUUGAAGGACCACCAGUGGCGAAGGCGUCUCACCAGAACGGACCUGACGGCAAGGGACGAAAGCUAGGGGCACGAACCGGAUUAGAUACCCGGGUAGUCCUAGCCGUAAACGAUACUCGCUAGGUGUCGGCCACGGUGCGACCGUUGUCGGUGCCGUAGGGAAGCCGUGAAGCGAGCCACCUGGGAAGUACGGCCGCAAGGCUGAAACU